AGCUCAGUUGGUAGAGUGUUUGCCUAACAUGCACAAGGUCCUGGGUUCAAUCCCCAG
rnacentral:tRNA from 1 species